AUACGUAGGGGGCGAGCGUUAUCCGGAAUUAUUGGGCGUAAAGAGUACGUAGGUGGUCCGUUAAGCGAGUGGUGAAAGCCCGGGGCUCGACUCCGGCGAGCCAUUCGAACUGGCGGACUUGAGUGCAGGAGGGGAAAGUGGAAUUCUUGGUGGAGCGGUGACGUGCGUAGAUAUCAGGAGGAACACCGGUGGCGAAGGCGACUUUCUGGACUGUAACUGACACUGAGGUACGAAAGCGUGGGGAGCAAACAGGAUUAGAUACCCUAGUAGUCCACGCUGUAAACGAUGAGCACUAGGUGUUGGGGCAGCAAUGUCUCGGUGCCGCAGUUAACGCAAUAAGUGCUCCGCCUGGGGAGUACGCACGCAAGGGUGAAACUCAAAUGAAUUGACGGGG
rnacentral:rRNA from 1 species